UAUGGAGUGACUAAAUCACAAGAUCUGCAAGGCAGGACACUGGAAAGAAGCGAGCCAGAUGGACAAAAGACCCCAGGAUUCCCCGGAGGAACCCAUGAGUCUGUGGUUAAAAGACUGAUAAAACACAAAUUGCUGGGCUUCACUUCCACAGUUUCUGAUUUGGCAGGUCUGGAUGAGCCUGAAAGUCUUUAUUUCUAUUAAGUUCCCAGGUGAUACGAAUGCACCUGGCCCAGGACCAGACUUUGAAAAUAACUCCUGUUGACCAAAGACAGUAUAAGUUGAAAAUAAAAUAAAAUCUGUAUCUACUAAAUUUUUCUCACUCAUUCAGAUUCACCAAAGAUUUAAAAAUGUCUAAGGAUACAGGAAAACAUAUACAGGCAUCCCUGAGAGACAUUGCAAGUUUGGUUCCAGACCACCCCAAUAAGGAGAAUAUCAUAACAAACUACAGUUACUUCCUCCACUGAACUCUUAACUCCCUCAGAGUCAUCCAAUGAGGGAUGGAAUCAAUGACUUCCAAACUCCUGUAGUGCACUGAAGACUGUGAGAUGAUGGCAUCGUUUUUCUUAAAGUUGAAUCAGCAUACUCAAGUGAAAAUAUUCAUAGGAGAACAAGUACAAUUAAAAGAAUUUCUUUA
rnacentral:lncRNA from 1 species